GAAAGCCGAGUUUUGAUUUUUCAGUCUAUCAUUCAUUUCUUGUGUUUUGUUUAUGAUUUAGUGUUGUCUUUGAAUUAUAAAAUGGUACUUUUAAAUUUGGCAAAUUGAAAGCUGAGCAGCAUACAGUUUUUUACAACUUACAAGGGGUAUUAACUUUCUCUUUAGUAUAGAAAGUUGUUAACUUUUGUUUCUUUUCUUUUUCUGUAACUGGGUUUGUGUGGUUAUUUCCUUUUCUAGUGUUCGCUUCGUUUUUGGAUGUAAUAUUUGUGAUUUCGACUUGUUCUAAUAUAAUGUUCCUGUUAUUUGACAGGAAGCACUGCAAAAACCAGGAUUUUACGCGGGUGAGGAAGACAUGGAGUUUUCCAGCUUCUCAAGCGGGACCGAACGUGCUGUCAAGACUUGGCAAGCCUCCUUAGACGCCCCUCAAGAUGGCAUAGUGACUGCAGAACUUGAACAAUUAUAUACGGGUGGUACAAAUUGAGGGUCUGGAUAACAAAGGGAGUACUCUGACUGCUACUCAAAAGGUAUAGCCUUCUGACGAUAUACCAUUAGCCUUUAUUAAGUGGAAGCCGUUGAUGUUUUAAGUUUCAGUACCAAUAUUUCAUUCCUCACUUGGAACUGAACAUAAUGGUUUGGUAAGUCAUUACUUGCAUUCCUCAAGAGGAGCCAAAAACUCAUUUGAUGGUUCAAUUUGAAGUGAACUAAGCCUUCAUUUUCUUCAACCAGAUUGUAAAGAAUUGUAGCAAACAGUACAAAGUACCAACCAAGAAGCUCUGUUACUUAAUUGAGAAACGGACCUGAAGCUCCGACUCUAUUUUCAGUAACUCAGACAUCAGGUUUCUUGGUUCCAGUUCAUGAGACAAUCACUUAACAUGCAAAUAAAUACGAUAUGACAGUGACGUAAUGCGCUGUGGUAACUGGUAACACACCGUAACUUAUUUUGGAUACUAAUAUAAAUGAAGCUGAUUAUAUUGGUAAACUAAUUUUCUUCUCCUGGUUGGCCUUGAGCUAGCAACCUGAUCAUGUUCGUAUAAGCUAUAGCGAACCACUACAUAGGCUGAAACAUCGUAAUUCUUCUAAUGGUUGCGUGGGUUCUGUUGUUUAGGAAGAUCCAAAUGGAGCUGCAGUUACUUCUGGAACAGAAAUUUCAGAGGUCCAGCAAACACUUGUGAAAGAAGGUGUAACAAAAGUAGAGGUAUCUGAGCAUUGUGUUUUUCUCCUUGGAGAGAACCGCUGGGAAGAUUCGUCUAGACUUAGCAGGAACCAAAAAAAAGUAGGUGAAAGCAAGACAAUGAAUACCACAACAAGGUGUCUUACUUGUCGAGGGGAGGGUCGCUUAUUGUGCACAGAAUGGGAUGGAACAGGCGAGCCAAACAUUGAAGAACAGUUCUUGGAUUGGGUGGAAGAUGGAGCAAAAUGUCCAUAUUGUGAAGGUCAUGGGUUUACAAUUUGCGACGUAUGUGAAGGGGCAACAGUAGCUUAGGUAUCAAAAUAUCUUCCCAUAAAGACAUGUGCAGUUUUAUGCUUUAGUACAUGUGUUUAAUGGUAGUUUGCAUUUAUAAACAAAUGCAGAAAAUCAUAUGUAUAUCUACUGUUUAUUAUACAAGUCAACGGGGCUCAGUGAAAAAGGGUAAUGACUUGCAAACCAGAGAUCUUAUGUUCAAACCACGACAUCGUAGUUGUGUGUGUGUGUGUGAGAAAUCCCCCUCCCUUUUAGACUAUUGCUUGUACUAUUAAAAAAAAAAAUUAAUUAAAAAAUAGAAAAAACAAGUUGACGUUGUACUUGGAAAUUAAAGAGAAAAAUAAAAAGGGAAGUUGCCAAUCGGCAAAUUUAAUACUUGAUCAAUAAUUCAACAGACCAAUUGUUAUGAAUACACACU